rnacentral:rRNA from 1 species
UAGGGAAUCUUCGGCAAUGGGGGGAACCCUGACCGAGCAACGCCGCGUGAGUGAAGAAGGUUUUCGGAUCGUAAAGCUCUGUUGUUAAGGAAGAACGAGUGUGAGAAUGGAAAGUUCAUACUGUGACGGUACUUAACCAGAAAGGGACGGCUAACUACGUGCCAGCAGCCGCGGUAAUACGUAGGUCCCGAGCGUUGUCCGGAUUUAUUGGGCGUAAAGCGAGCGCAGGCGGUCAAUUAAGUCUGAUGUGAAAGCCCCCGGCUCAACCGGGGAGGGUCAUUGGAAACUGGUUGACUUGAGUGCAGAAGAGGAGAGUGGAAUUCCAUGUGUAGCGGUGAAAUGCGCAGAGAUAUGGAGGAACACCAGUGGCGAAGGCGACUUUCUGGUCUGUAACUGACGCUGAUGUGCGAAAGCGUGGGGAUCAAACAGG